UGCAAGUCGAGCGGAAAGGCCCUUCGGGGUACUCGAGCGGCGAACGGGUGAGUAACACGUGAGCAACCUGCCCUAGGCUUUGGGAUAACCCCGGGAAACCGGGGCUAAUACCGAAUAUGACCUCCGAUCGCAUGGUUGGUGGUGGAAAGUUUUUCGGCCUGGGAUGGGCUCGCGGCCUAUCAGCUUGUUGGUGGGGUGAUGGCCUACCAAGGCGACGACGGGUAGCCGGCCUGAGAGGGCGACCGGCCACACUGGGACUGAGACACGGCCCAGACUCCUACGGGAGGCAGCAGUGGGGAAUAUUGCACAAUGGGCGGAAGCCUGAUGCAGCGACGCCGCGUGAGGGAUGACGGCCUUCGGGUUGUAAACCUCUUUCAGCAGGGACGAAGCGAAAGUGACGGUACCUGCAGAAGAAGCGCCGGCCAACUACGUGCCAGCAGCCGCGGUAAGACGUAGGGCGCGAGCGUUGUCCGGAUUUAUUGGGCGUAAAGAGCUCGUAGGCGGCUUGUCGCGUCGACUGUGAAAACCCGCAGCUCAACUGCGGGCCUGCAGUCGAUACGGGCAGGCUAGAGUUCGGUAGGGGAGACUGGAAUUCCUGGUGUAGCGGUGAAAUGCGCAGAUAUCAGGAGGAACACCGGUGGCGAAGGCGGGUCUCUGGGCCGAUACUGACGCUGAGGAGCGAAAGCGUGGGGAGCGAACAGGAUUAGAUACCCUGGUAGUCCACGCU
rnacentral:rRNA from 1 species